rnacentral:rRNA from 1 species
UUGCCGUAGCAAUACGGUGAUGGGCGCACGGCGCACGGGUGCGUAACACGUGGGCAAUCUGCCCUUUGAUGGGGAAUAACCCGCCGAAAGGCGGGCUAAUUCCGCAUAAGAUUCCCGAGACUUCGGUCUUGGGAUUGAAAGCAGCAAUGCGUCGAAGGAGGAGCCCGCGCCCGAUUAGCUAGUUGGUGAGGUAACGGCUCACCAAGGCUAUGAUCGGUAGCUGGUCUGAGAGGAUGAUCAGCCACACUGGAACUGAGACACGGUCCAGACUCCUACGGGAGGCAGCAGUGGGGAAUCUUGCACAAUGGGCGAAAGCCUGAUGCAGCGACGCCGCGUGGGGGAUGAAGCAUUUCGGUGUGUAAACCCCUUUCGACUGGGAAGAAUACCUCGCAAGAGGGGUGACGGUACCAGUAGAAGAAGCCCCGGCUAACUACGUGCCAGCAGCCGCGGUAAGACGUAGGGGGCCAGCGUUGUUCGGAAUUACUGGGUGUAAAGGGUUCGUAGGCGGUGCGGCAAGUUGGGAGUGAAAUCUCUGGGCUUAACCCAGAGGCUGCUUCCAAAACUGCUGUGCUCGAGUGUGAGAGAGGCUCGUGGAAUUGCAGGUGUAGCGGUGAAAUGCGUAGAUAUCUGCAGGAACACCCGUGGCGAAAGCGGCGAGCUGGAUCACUACUGACGCUGAGGAACGAAAGCUAGGGGAGCAAACAGGAUUAGAUACCCUGGUAGUCCUAGCCCUAAACGAUCAGGACUUGGGGUGCCGCCCGUUCGGGCGUCGUCCCGGAGCUAACGCGUUAAGUCCUGCACCUGGGGAGUACGGUCGCAAGACUG